AAGUUAAGUGAUCGCGUAUAGCAUGGUCGAAAGGCGGCGUACGAGGAAAGUCCGGGCUCCAUAGAGCAAUGAUGCUGGAUAACGUCCAGUGAGGGAAACCUUAAGGAAAGUGCAACAGAAAAUAACCGCCCAUGUGGUAAGGAUGAAAAGGCGAGGUAAGAGCUCACCGCUUUUGUGGAGACACAAAGGGUCAGUGUAAACCCCAUCUGGAGCAACACCGAGACAAGAAGGCAAAGACUGCUCGUCAUCUUCUUAAUUUGGUGGCUUGAGGCAUAUAGCAAUAUAUGUACUAGAUAAAUGAUCACUCACGACAGAACCCGGCUUAUAGGCUUACCUU
rnacentral:RNase_P_RNA from 1 species